GGACGAAAUUCAACGGUGAGCUAAGCAUGUAGAACUGGGAAUCAAACAUCUUCGGACGCGGGUUCGACUCCCGCCACCUCCACCA
rnacentral:tmRNA from 1 species